rnacentral:tRNA from 1 species
CCUUUGAUGGCCGAGAACAGGCAUUAAGCUUUUAACUUAACUACAGUUUCAACUUCAAAGGU